GCCACCCAGGCGCCCUGUACCUCCUUCUCAAGUUGCUUGUGGCCGAGGGGGACUGCAACCCUCUGCACCAUCUGUGCCCUUGGAAACCGGACGGAGGUUAGCGGGGGCUUUAACAGGGCGUGGUGUGUGCCAGACUCCUUAUCCACGUCAUCGCUUAAUCCUCACGAGUCUGUUUCACAGACGUUACGACUGAGGCGCAGAGAAGGGUGGAGGGUAAGUGGGUCCCAGGUCCCAUCGCUGGGCAGAGGCGAACCCCGGCCUGCCUACUCUAUCUACCCUCAGAGCACAGCCCAGAGGGCCCCUCUGGCCCUUAGGAGGCUUGGAAGCUCCGUAAACACUAAUGGAGUCCUUGGGGGCCCCGGGCAGGGUCCCGUGGCGGGGAGAGCAGCCAGGCGCCGCUCGCCUGGACUAAACUUCGGGGCGUGGCUUGGCCCUACACCUGGGCUCCACCCCGGGGAACGAGGAAGCCCGACGCCCGGCCGCAGCCUGCAUACGGGCGCUCCCCGGCGCGAGCCCUCGGCUGGGGUCCGCCCCGGGGAACGCCGGGAAGCCGCCCCGGCCCCGCCCCGCCCCGCGCGCUCUCCUCCCCCCGCUGCGCAGCGCUCGCCUGCCCCCUGCUGCCGCGGGGUGGACCCUGCAACCUGGGCCCUCCCCGCCUCCGCACGGCGCACCCCCCACCUCCGGAUUGGCGGCUCCAGAAGUCUCCGGGCCGUCCGCCUUCCGCCACCGGAUUGGCUGUGCCCCGGGACUGAGGCCCCGCCCAUUUCCCCGGGUCCUUUGAUCACGCGCCUGCCGGCUCUUCCGGGGCCUGGGAGCCAAACGAGGGCGUUCCUGUCCGGGCUGCGGCGGCGGGAGGUAAGGCAUGAUCGGGUUGGAUGGGCUGCAGAGCGCCGGUACGGGUCCACGUAUCGGGGUGCCGGGAUUCCAGGAUGCCCGGGCCCUCUGCGUAGCCCCCAGACCUCCCUCCCCCGGCCUGAGCCGCUCAGCGCCGUGGGAACUACCUCCCACUCGCCGAUGCUGCUCCGCAUCCUAGGAGCGGCCCGACACCCGCCCCACCUCGGCAGGUCCCCUCGACCAUGGGACGGUGUGCAUGCGACUGGGCAAGCUCGGUGCCCCCACGGACACCGGGACAGGUAG
rnacentral:lncRNA from 1 species